GUUAUAUGGUCAAGCAUAAAAGUGCAUCUGGUGGAUGCCUUGGCAGCUGAAGGCGAUGAAGGACGUUGUAGCCUGCGAUAAGCCUCGGGGAGUCGGCAAACAGACUUUGAUCCGGGGAUUUCCGAAUGGGGAAACCCACCACAUCCGUGGUAUCUGCACCUGAAUACAUAGGGUGCAGAGGCGAACCUGGGGAACUGAAAUAUCUAAGUACCCAGAGGAAAAGAAAUCAACCGAGAUUCCCUUAGUAGCGACGAGCGAACGGGGACCAGCCCUUAAGCUGGCGGUGCGUUAGUGGAAGUGUCUGGAAAGUCACGCGAUACAGGGUGAUAGCCCCGUACACGAAAACAAACCGUUAGUGAAAUCGAGUAGGACGGGGCACGUGAAACCCUGUCUGAACAUGGGGGGACCAUCCUCCAAGGCUAAAUACUCUCAGCUGACCGAUAGUGAACCAGUACCGUGAGGGAAAGGCGAAAAGAACCCCUGUGAGGGGAGUGAAAUAGAACCUGAAACCGGGUGCAUACAAGCAGUGGGAGCUGGCUGUCGCUUGCGGCGGCUGGUGACUGCGUACCUUUUGUAUAAUGGGUCAGCGAGUUAUUUUUACUGGCAAGGUUAACCGUCUAGGGGAGCCGUAGGGAAACCGAGUCUUAACAGGGCGUCAGCCCCUUGCUUGCAAGGGUAGUCGGUAGGAAUAGACCCGAAACCGAGCGAUCUAGCCAUGGGCAGGUUGAAGGUUGAGUAACAUCAACUGGAGGACCGAACCCACUUAUGUUGAAAAAUGAGGGGAUGACCUGUGGCUAGGAGUGAAAGGCUAAUCAAGCUCGGAGAUAGCUGGUUCUCCCCGAAAUCUAUUUAGGUAGAGCCUCUCGUAUCACCGCCGGGGGUAGAGCACUGUUUGGGCUAGGGGGUCAUCCCGACUUACCAAACCGAUGCAAACUCCGAAUACCGGUGAGUGCAAUCACGGGAGACACACGGCGGGUGCUAACGUCCGUCGUGGAAAGGGAAACAACCCAGACCGCCAGCU
rnacentral:rRNA from 1 species